UGAGGAAUAUUGGUCAAUGGACGCAAGUCUGAACCAGCCAAGUAGCGUGCAGGAUGACGGCCCUAUGGGUUGUAAACUGCUUUUAUAUGGGGAUAAAGUGGGGAACGUGUUCCCUUUUGCAGGUACCAUAUGAAUAAGGAGCGGCUAAUUCCGUGCCAGCAGCCGCGGUAAUACGGAAGGUUCGGGCGUUAUCCGGAUUUAUUGGGUUUAAAGGGAGCGUAGGCUGUUUGUUAAGCGUGUUGUGAAAUGUAAGAGCUCAACUUUUAGAUUGCAGCGCGAACUGGCAGACUUGAGUGCGCACAACGUAGGCGGAAUUCAUGGUGUAGCGGUGAAAUGCUUAGAUAUCAUGACGAACUCCGAUUGCGAAGGCAGCUUACGGGAGCGCAACUGACGCUAAAGCUCGAAGGUGCGGGUAUCGAACAGG
rnacentral:rRNA from 1 species